UUAAGUCAGCAGUCUUUUAAUAACUUUAUAAAAAAUAUUCUCUCACUGAGGCAUCAGAUCACCUUUGUCGUGGAUGGGGGUAGACCUCGUCCCCAGACCGUUCUGGCACCAUGCAGGCAGGGGAGUUGAAACCAGUCGCUAUAGCGAUCGAUGCCGAGCUGCUGUUUAAAGGCUGGGAAUCUGAUAAUGGCUGCUGUUAUCUACUCUAGCCAUGGGAGUUACCUGGCUCCAGCAGACCUAAUGGGAGGUGUAAAAAUUGGUGAAUAUCGCAAGAGCAAAGGUAAAGGUGACUGCAGCAGAUUCUGGUGUGACAGUACAGUAGCUGUUAACAACAAAUGGCCUCUGGUGAGGUGUAAUGAUGGGAUGAUCAGACAGCAGAGCACAGUCACCUGAGAGGGUACUCAUCUGAUCACAGUCUCUCAUCACAGGGGGAUGUUAUUCCCCAGCAAUUUGCUCCCUGGCAAUAAGCCAGGCUAACAAUGAUCUGCUCCCACACAAGUAUGGAAAUUGGCCAAUAUCUUGCAACAAAUCUCAUCAACUUCCUUGCCCUUGAGGAUACCUGGGAGAAUGAUUUGUUCAAAAAGCUGAAACAAUGGAUAUGACAGCCUCAGUUUCCAAGACAGAAGUGCUAAAGAAAGGCGAUUUUGACAAAGAAAACCAACCCGCCAUACGUGGUGAGAGUUCAGCUGUCUACCACGGGACUGUCAAAAGGAAGUGAAAAUAUAUUGACCUUAGAGAGUGACCUUACAUAAGGACAUGAACCAGAACAACAGCCAUCUUUGGACCUCUUGCAAUGAUAUUCUGAUCUGGUUGCUGCUGUUGGCAACUGUUUUACAGGUGUAUCAUCAUCAAUUUUGUUUUGCUGUUUCUCCUAUGUGAAGAUAUUGCAAGAUACUUAAAGACAUUGCCAUGAACUCUUGGGAAACUGAGCAGUUUUUGAUCUGGAGAUGCAGCAAACUACAGAACUGAUGAGGCUUGGUCUAAAUUAAGUAACAGUAGUCUCUCAUUGGUAAUUGUGUUAUGCCUUGUUAGUGAAGCUGAGUCACUGGUUCUAUAACACUAUUUAUUCUUGACUAAAUAAGCAGCCAUUAAAGUUACAUUUUGAGGGGAAAAAAAUCUUUAGUCAUUCUAAAUCCUCAGACUCAUCUAAUCUACUUCAUCAGGACUGUGUGGGUGUGCUUUGAUUUGAUUGGCGGCCUGGGAAUAUUAGCAACCAACCGUCUGUCUUCAGAUUUUAAUACAAAUGUUGCUAAAUCCUGAUUGGUGCAGGGGCGUAUAUGACACCACCUUUUUCUAACUGAGCUCUAUGUGAAAUAAUUAAAACUGUUCAGACUUUGGCAGAGAAUUGUGUGUCCAUGUACUGUAGGAGCCUAGCACUCAUAGUAUGAAGCUGAUUGAGAAAAAAGGUUUCUGGGCCUUUUUAAAUAUGGCAUCAGAAGUUGGCUGUCACUUUUAUAGGUUCCUGACAGUCCAUAGUAAAGAUUCAAGUGAUAUUUCACUUUUUAUACUUUACCCAAUCAUGCAUCAUAAAUCUCAGAAUCAGAAAUACUUUAUUGAUCCCCGAAGGGAAACUCUUUGUUACAGCAGCUCGCCUUUACGUCAGUGCACAAUCACGAUCUCAGUUGAUUUCUUUGUGAAAAUAUUGAAUUAGCUAGAGCUUGAUCAACAGUGACAAUUAAAGCAGUUAGCCUUGCGCUUUAUUACCACAGAUUGUUACAGAUGAUAGAUUUUUACUUUUUAUUGCAUCAACAUUCAAUUAUUCCCUCACCUCGAGAUGUUGUAAGACUCCUGCAGUGUGAGGAGUGUGAGUUGACAAUUCUAACCCUGCUUGCAAAAGCGUUAGAGUUGGAUAACUCCUGAUUUUCUAUGUUCCUGUAAAUGGAGGACACCUUCUGAGAACACAGCUUUUAUAGUUGUUGUAAACAUAAGAGUGGGGAGCACAAAGCAGCAUCUACAACCAUUGUAGUGUUACUCAUUAUGAGCAUAAUGUUGCAGGUCCAAACCAAAACAUUCAUGAGAAAUAAUGUCCCUCAAUGUAGCAAGGUGGGAUGUCAAUAUCAGGUUGACAGCUCAGCAUGGUUGUGCAUGACGAUUAAGAUAGGAAUGGUAUAGACAUGUUUUGCCUGUGUUGGGCAUUUUAAUUAUUGUGACAUAUAACUGGAACAAACUGAGCACAUGGAUGGACGAUAUGGAAGUGGAUUAUGCUGUAGGACUGGUUUGAAACUAGUUUUCUCCUGCAAGAACUACAAAACUCUAACUAUUCAUGAAAAAGGAUACUACACACUUCUUACGCUUACCUUUCAAGUCUACAGUAGGUGAAUUUAAUUAAACCUUUUAUCAACUUUUAAGCUUUUAAGGCCGAGAUGUCCUCAAAAUUGCCCUGUUUAUGAUGCAUGAUUGGGUAAUAUGUUUUUUAAGGACAAGAAUUCCUUAAUGUGCUCGGAUAACUGGACAUCCACAAUUCCAUGACAGCACAGCAGACUCCCUCUGCUGAUGAAGAUCGUGUGAUAUGAUUAAAAGCUUCAGAACAGGUACUAAAAGCACUUUUGUAGAGAGUAGGGCUGCAAGGAAUUAUUUUCAUUAAGCUGCCGAUAAUUUUCCCCAUUAAUCAUUUAGGCUAUAGAAUGUCAAAAAGUAGUGAAAUAAACCCUUGUAAUUUCUCAAAGCCCAAACUGAUGUCUUCAGAAUGGUUGUUUCACCAACCAACAGUCCAAAACUAAGAGAUAUUUCAUUAACUAUAACAUAUAACUAUAACAUAUAAGACGAAGAAAAGCAGCAAAUCUUCACAUUUGAGAAGAUGGAACCAGUCAGUUGUUGGCAUUUUUGCUUGAAAAAUGACUGAAACAAUUGAUUGAUUAUCAAAAAAGUGGCUUUUUUUUAUUGAUUAGCUGUUUCAGCUGUAGUAUUGAGAUCGUUUUGUCAAUUACACAAGGUGAGGGUUUCAUCCUCAAAAAAUCUUUGGUUGAACGUCACUUGCUUCUAUAUGCAAUGUUCACUAAAUAAUAAUAAGCAUAUGAUUGCUUCUUUUGUGUGUUUUACUUUUAUGUCUGUCUUAUUUUUGCUGGUGUGAUUCCCACUCCAGUAUGAACUCCCACCUACCAAGCCUGAGGGCAGUAAGCAGAAAGAGGUAAUGCCUUUUCCAUUUGUGUCAGUGACAUUUUGUGUAGUCCCUAAUGUAGAUAAUGGCUUUUUACUGCAGCUAGGUGCUGAGCGAGUGGUAUUUGUGCUUCACUGACCGAGCGACAAGAGGGCACAGCGGAGGAGAGACAGGAGCAAGGGAGUUGUAAAGAGAGUGAGCGGAGGGAGGAGCAAACGGCAUAGGAGGACUGCAGGAGCGGAGUAUAGAGAGAAGUGUAGAGAGGAGAGGAAACAGUAGGCCUCCCCCUGCAUAGUUCUCCCUCCAGUCAGUCAGCUGUGGACACAAACGCUGCCACACAGUUCAGAGCUGUGUGACUGGAGAAAGACUUAGCAUGCAGGAGGAAGUGGCAAAUUAACUCAGCACUUCAGACACACACUCUGGGUCACUUGGGAAUGAUGUGUGUGUGAAGUAGAUGCACAUACACACACUCAUGUAGCCAUCUGUGAAUUGGGAUCCAAUCUACCUCUGACUAAUCUGUCUAUAUCCUUAGAUCACUAACCGCAGGCUUCCACAUGCAGUGCAUCUUCGCCUUUCUGUUCAUGUGUGUGUUAAUCAGAAGGAGGGCUCAGUGUAGCCUUGGUGCAGUGUUUUCAGGACUGAUUAAAUAUUUACCAGUGGCGAGAGUCUGUAGGCAGGGAUUGCAGUUUACAUGAUGAGCUUUUUGACCUCUGGGCUACCGUUGAGCGCUGCAGGGCUGGCAAGUCAGGAAAUGGGAAAGCCAAGGCUGCGUAGCCUCACAGUGUGUGUAACCAUAAGCCUCUCCGUGUGAACAUACAUGUUGUAGGCAUGGCAAUUGCUCUCUCUUUCACAAACCUUGCACUGGAUUUAUGUGGCAUUACCCCCCAACCCCUUCUUAAACACUCACUAUAUAGACACGUAUAGAUAUUCCACUGAGGUAAACUAAACCCUCCUCUCCAAUUCUUGUAUUAUCAGUCUGUGUGUAAUCUUGAAAUCCUGGAUGGAGUUAAUAUUAUAUGCAGAAGAUGAACUUGGAGAUAAUGCUCUGGAAGUCACAUUGGUGAGGAAUUAACCCUGCACAUCACUGCUGUGGCAGCUGCUGCAAGAGCAUCCAGUGCGUACUUUUGUGUGUAUGUGUGUUUGUGCAUUAUGCCUGGAUUCAUGUGAGAGUAAAACAAGUGGGGGAGAUGGAAGGAGAGACAAAGAAAAAAGUGUAAGACAGUAAAUUUUUGACUUUUGUGUUUUAUUCGCUUUCAUGCCAAGAGUUAGAUGUGGAGAUUGAUACCACCCUUGUACACUGAAUAUGAAGCUCCAGCCAACAGACAGUUAGCUUAGCUUAGCUUAGCAUAAAGCCUGGAAACCAGGACAAACACCUAGCCUGUCCAUUAAGUAACCCACCGUAAAACUGCAACUUCUGUUUUUGCGCUUCGGUUUUUGUAUGUAUGUAUGUUGUAUUUAUGUAUGUAUUAAACAAACGAGAUAUUACAUGUUAAUUAGUGAGCUUUAAAGGUGCUGGUAGGCAGAUUGUGUUAAUUUUGAACAGAACCAGUCUAACUGUUUCCCCCAGUCUUUAAGCUAAACCAAGCUAACCGGCUGCUGGCUGCAGCUUCAUAUUUGCUGGAAAGAGUGGUCUCAAUCUUCUCAUCGAACUCUCAGCAAGAAAGCAAUUAAGCAUAUUUUCCAAAAAUGUCUAUUUCUUAACCGGAAGUCUGCAGGGUUUGCUUCCUGCUUGUCUUCUCCCAUCUUUUCUGUAUGUGUCUGUUAUGGGGAGCAUUCUCCUUAGUAGGCAUACUGCAAGUAUAGCUCCUUUGAGGGCUUUCUAUCUGGUAAAUUCACUGUACUCUCCUCAGAGGGCCCAAGGGCAGAAAGACAGAGAAGACAGAAUAAUUUCUUUUCUACCUUCUAAGUUUCGUGUCUCUUCCUCUAUUCCUCUCUUUCUGCUUUAGCUGUCUCGCAUCCCUGCAGGGGCUGUUUGCAUUUUACAUCUUGAUGGGACGCAUCACCUCCUUGCCCCCUCAGAUUUUACUGACUAAUACUAGGAUUUAUGUGAAGAAACUGGGCAUGUGCAUAAGACAGUAGAGGUGUGUGAUUUUGCCUCAAACUUCUUCUGAAGUUCAUUUUCACACCAGGAUGUUGUGUUGCAACAAAUCUUAGCAUUUUUUCAGCCUACAUCCAAUGCCAGAUAGCUGAAGAGUGCAACGUAAAAUGCUUACAUCAGUUUUCUUGUGUUUAAUAAAUAACCUGAAUUACUAUCUGAAUAUGGUACUACUCCUCAACCAUCUGCUGCUCUUGUUUGCCAAUUUCCAACGAAUGCCAAGACGUUUUAGCAAAUACUAUGAUGAUCAUAUCUGACCUGUGAUCCUAGAUCAGUUUACUUCAAAAUAUCUGGAUUUGAGCCCAGCGUAAGAAUAUUUGGUCUGCAAAUUUCAACAUCCAUGUGCGAGCGACUCAACCUCCAGUAAUUUCAAUUGUCCAAUAUGUGCUCUGGAGGUGGGAAUGUGCAUAACUGGACGGCUGUGCAACAGGAUAUUGCUGAAAAAGGGCGUUCAUGCCCAGUGGGCCUUUGCAAGCUUAUUAAAGGUUAAAUAAAUACAAUAAAACUUUAUUGAAGGAAUGAUGAUCAGGACAGAGGAUGGCUGUUGAGCUGUACUGUGUCAAACAUUUCUUAGAAAACCUGGUCACCAUCUUGCAGGGGAGUGGGAAAUCUUGCCAGAGGAGUACAUUAUUAUAGCAUCUGCUUGGCUGUGAUCCCCAGUGAGCAGAGGCCUGUAUUAACAAGGUUUGGACAUGCCUUGGAGCUUGAUGAAGCUAAACACUUCACAUUCCACUGCAGGGUUAGAGGGAGGGGUUGUGAAAGGGAGAGAGGGGUUGGAGGUAAAGAGAAUAGAGCUGUCUGUGACAGAUUAUAUCACUUUGAGCUUCAGGAUGUAGCCUAACAUGCACAUAAUGUAUUAUUGUCUAGUCAGUGCACAUGCUAUGGGUCAACUCAGUUGAACUUGUAUGUAUGUAUGUAUGUAUGUAUGUAUGGAUUCAAAAAUACCAUGUCCUCGGUUUGGUCUUCCUGUUGCCAAAAUAAACCCUAAAAUAUUGCAGCUGGCCGGAUUUAUUUAUGUCUAGCUGUGAGCCGUGUAAAUCAUUUUGGAGGGGUUUCUGUGUGUGUGUGUUUGUGUGUGUGUGUGUGUUUGUUUGUUUGUUUGUUUGUUUGUUUCCCUAAAAAAUGUGACUUUGAUUGAACAGGGCACAGACUCAGAGGUGACAUUGGUCACUCACACCCUGACAGCCAGUAAGAAUAGUAAGCAGGGUGUGAGCUCUAGGGUUUGUAAUUUUAUAGCAUUGUUUUGUUGACAGGUCUGUCAUUAAAUCAUUCCUUAGUUUGACAGCAUUGUCUUAGAUCACACUUUGUGACAGGACACCUAGGAGGCGGCCUACAGCCACACACACACACACACAGCACCCAGAUGUGGCAGAGACACAAACAGUGUGCAGGAUUUGUCUGUCUGCCUCUAACACAAGAAUGUUUGCUUCUGUUAGACUGCUCAUCCUUUCUCGCUCCUAGAUGUGUUAUAGUCUACUGCCUUCCUGUUCUAACAUGACUUAGACAGUUAACAAAGCUCUUAAAUGACUGUUGAGCAGGAUUAUGUGCUAGACUCGGAGUUGACAGAGCUUAUUGCUCUUUGCAGACUCACUUUUUUCUUUGUCUCCUUUUCCUCCCUUGGUAACAUUCAUUAUUACCCUUCAUAACUCAGCGCCUCCUUUCAUUUCCUGGGUGUGUGAUUAGCUGCUAGUUAGCUAUCACAGUAAUGAGCAGUGAGCUGUUAAUAAAAGAUCCACCAAAGGGCGAGCAUGCAGGGACCAAGUAUUGGCAGGGCAACGCAAAAUCUGUUCAUAUACACACAAAAUAUCAGUCUUAUUUUGAUGAAAUGUCAGAGGAUUAUGCUUCCAUAAACUUCGAUUUAGAGAUUAAAGCCUCCUCUUGUGGUGCAGUCUGAAUAUCUAAAUCUUAGAUCAAAGUGAAAGUCUAUAAACGCAGCAUAAGCCAAAGAGAGGGAUCUUGGAAUUAUUUAGGUAGUGCAGAAGUAUUGUAUCAGUACAAUCUCAGACUCUUAUGUGUGAGGAUACACACAGAGAAGGAUAUAUACAAAUUUGCAGAUUCAAGAAUAAAAGUCUGUAUGCUUUAAAUUGUAAAUAUGCCUAUACAGUAUUUUUUUCAAGUAAUAAAACCCUGCUCACAUUGUGUUCCACUUCCAUUGUAAAGCUUUAUGUACAUGUGCAUAAGCCUGGUGUCCAUGCCAACAAUUAACCAUAAAUGGGUGUCAACACACCUCAAUUUAACUUGAUUUGCACAUGAAUGCCAGUCAUCAUCAUGGACUACAAUGAUGGCCCAUCAUCUACCAGUGGAAAUAAUAGAAAAUAACUAUUCUGCAAUCAGACCACUCAGAAUAACUGUGCACAUUAAGAACCUUGAAAUGAGAUUUGUCCUACCAGAGGGAUUGGCAGAGCCCUUCUCUCUCUCCACCCUUUACCUCUUUGCUGGUCAUUUCACAGAGCCUAGGAAGUCAGCCUUGUUGUCACAACCUGAGCAAAUGAGCUGGAAAAAACAGCGGUUGAUGGACUCCAGUGUCACUUCAGGCCACAGGAGUUCUGGGGUUGUGUCAGGCUGGAUUAAGAAAGUAAAAGUGCAAUAGAGAGAAAAUCCUUACAAUGGUCGGAGAAGAAAAAUUCACUGUAGUUGUAUUUUACAUCAAUAGAAGGGGGAUAAGAUUGCUAGACAGUAAUAUUUGCCUCACAAAACAAAAUAUGGUAAUGCUUUUAAACAACUUAUAGGACAGAGAUUGCUUUGAGAUUGGAAACCUCACAGGCAUCACAUACUGUGUUCUUUUCUCCUCCUCUUUUAGGCCAGAAUAUCAACACAGGCCCUAAAGACUUAUAUUUUCUAUCAUCUUGCAUUUGCAAGGUCCUUGAACAGUAUACUAAGCAGCCAGCGUUUUAUUACUCACACUGAUUAUAGCGAAUAGAUAUAAACAAGAUAUUUUGAUGUAGAGGCACUAACGAAGAGGGAAAUGACUGAUAGGAAUCGGAGUGAAUACAUAAUCACACUUGUGUAUCACUUUCUGCUUGAGAGGAGAGCAAAUAUACUGCGUCUGUUGGAAUGUUAUAAUUAUAUAUAUUAUAAACAUGAGCACUAGAACUCACUCUAAUAUUGAUUUUAGAGGAUGAAAUUGUGAUGAUAAUCUUGUCAAGAUAAGAAUGUUGUUUGUUGAAGCUGAUACCACAAAACAUGGUCAAGUUUGUGUUCAAGAAACCGUUCAGCUCAUGAAGCGUCUCUGAAGAUGGCAGAUAUCACGAGUGCCAUCUCUGUGUCGACAAGCUUUGAUAGUUCUCACUGACAUUCUGCUAAUGUCUAUACUGCACAAAUAAGCCACAUCCUGGAGGUUGAUCUCAAAGUCCAAUACUAAAUUCAAAAAGUAGCUCAAGGCUUUGAGAGGCAAAGCCAGGAUUUGAAGGGUCCCCUCUUUCAAAACAAGUGACCUUUAUGAGAAAAGAGAGGUUGAAUAAAUCAGUGCAAGAAGUUUGCUUUUGUUUUUUUCUCUCCUCGAACAGCAGCAACUAGUAUAAACUUAUAUAACAGUGUAAAUAUGUAUACCAAUUCUGUAUUUGUGACAGUGGAGUUGAUGAAGGCUCACCCAUAAAAUUUCAACCAACCAAAAGACUUUUCUCUUUGAGAAUCGCCACUGCCGAGGGUUGUGUUGUACAGAGAGGUACUGUUUAUCCGAAGUACAUUGCCUCUACGGAAGUUAAUUACAGUCCUCCUCGCAGCAUCUGUGCUGCAGCAGAAGACAUUAAACUGUGGAAGAGCUUUUUAAGUGAUUGGCAGUGAGUUGGUCUGAAAUAUGAUUUAGUGGCCACAUGAUUGUUUGCCCAGUUAUUGUGUUUACUGAAAAGAGGUGAAAGUCCUUUUUAUAGAAACUCAGAUGUUUGACUCUAUUUAUUUUUUUUAUAUUAGCCCAAGUGUUUUUCAUGAAGAAUGAGUGUGUUCAGAAGCACUUAAGAAUUCAAAAUAUUUUUCUUCAUAUUUGCAUGUAUCUUGGUGCACAAAAAAAUGUUAAUACAGUGUGAAAAAACUUUGAUUACAGGGAGCAACUUUCACUUUGCAUGGAAAAUGCUAACAUAGUAAUUUAGAAUAUUUGAACUAUAUUCUGUAUGGUAGAAAUACACGUUUUGUUCCUGUAUAUCCUGUAUAUUUGUUCCUGUUCAUUUUGUUGCUUUACCAUUUUAUUAUCGUUUUACAGAUUAGUUCUGCUAUUCUGUGUGAUUUAAAUACAUUUCUAUCUGUUCUCAAAUGAAACAAGACACUCAUUUGGUAAUAUUGAUGAGAUGUGUAUUAUCUACACCUGAAAGGAUUAGUCGAUUGACAGAAAAUUAAUCUGCACCUGUUUUCCUAAUCGAUUAAUUGCUUGAGUCAUUUUUCAAGCAAAAAUGCCAAAACAGGAAAAAUGGACA